UAUCUUAUAGUAUACAGACCUGGCAUCAGGAUUGUAUUAAAGGUUACGGUAAGAGAUGACUAUGCGUCCUAUUAGCUAGAUGGUGUGGUAACGGCACACCAUGGCUACGAUAGGUAGGGGCCCUGAGAGGGGGAUCCCCCACACUGGUACUGAGACACGGACCAGACUCCUACGGGAGGCAGCAGUGAGGAAUAUUGGACAAUGGAGGCAACUCUGAUCCAGCCAUGCCGCGUGCAGGAAGACUGCCCUAUGGGUUGUAAACUGCUUUUAUACAGGAAGAAACACUCUCACGUGUGAGAGCUUGACGGUACUGU
rnacentral:rRNA from 1 species